rnacentral:rRNA from 1 species
AGUGAACGCUGGCGGCAGGCUUAACACAUGCAAGUCGAGCGAGCGGCGGACGGGUGAGUCAUGUCUGGGAAACUGCCUGAUGGGGGGGGAUAACUACUGGAAACGGUAGCUAAUACCGCAUACCAUCAGAUGUGGCCCGAUGGGAUUAGCUAGUAGGUGGGGUAAUGGCUCACCUAGGCGACGAUCCCUAGCUGGUCUGAGAGGAUGACCAGCCAAACUGGAACUGAGACACGGUCCAGACUCCUACGGGAGCCAGCAUUGGGGAAGAUUGGACAAUGGGCGCAAGCCUGAUGAAGCAAUGCCGCGUGUGUGAAGAAGGCCUUCGGUUUUAAAAGCACUUUCAGCGAGGAGGCGUUACUCGCAGAAGAAGCACCGGCUAACUCCGUGCCAGCAGCCGCGGUAAUAC